rnacentral:lncRNA from 10 species
CACUUGUGAGCCAAGCCCUGUCCUGGAUGGCUGGGUAAAUUAGGGAAUACGGCCACAGUGGUCUCUGUCUUCAUUAGCUUUAGUGUCAGGGGGAAGAUGGAUUUGAUGUAGGUAUGUGAGCGGGGGAUUCAGAAUUACCUCCUGGUUUUUGUUAAGUUGGUGCAAAAUUGUGGUUUUUGUCAUUACUUUUAUAGUCAAUAGGGUGCCGUUACUAAGGCAAGAGGUGGAGGGAAAGGAGUUUGGAGCUGGAGCUGGGGCUGGGGCUGCGUAACUGUCAGGAAAACAGUGUUUUGAAGUAAGAGGAAGAAGCAAAGCAGCAUUUCCUCACUAGACGCCCCUGGCACAGGUGGGUGAGUCAGAGCUCAGGGGAACAUCCCAGGAAGCUGUGCGGCAUGGCUGCUCAGGAGAUCUGAUGGGCACUCUGCGAUGUGGGGAGCCACGUGGCCUGCAGCAGCCAGGUCACCAGAGGUGGGCAUGGCGCCUCCACUGGUCAGCAGGGUAGGCAGAAAAGAAGGCGGCGCCAAGUCGGGAGUGCUGGGACAGGUCGGCGCCUUCCGGGCGCGUCUGUGUGUCCGUCCUUAUGCCUGACCGUGUGACCUUCUGGGAGAAAUGGCCUCAGCUUCCCUUUGUAGAAGAGGAAUACAUAAUUUUCUCUUUACCCUUCACAGUUCCCAGUUGGGACAGACCCCUGUAACCUAAGACAGAUUAACAGGAGGAAAACAAAGGUUUAGAAACACAUAUACAUGAUGUAUACACAGGAGAUAGCCAGAGAAAUGAGAGCAUCUCAGAGACGUGGCUUUGACUUCAGGCUUGAAUACCAUGGUCCAGGGAAACAGAGAAAGAAGGGUGUGGGGAAGGCCAGUUAUGAGGAGAUGCCCAGAUAAAGCACCUUAAAAAAGAGUAACAUUUGUUAUGCAAGCUUAAGUCAGUGUCUUCUAGAUUGAUGAUAGUCUCUAGGGAUUCAGUCAUUCCUUUAUCUCUGGUACAGAGAGGAACCACCCUUACAAAUGGAGAUUUCCUUUGUAAAUGUAAUUUUCCUUACGCAACGGUAACUUCUGUUGUCAGAGGUUCUGCCUGUGUCUGUGGUUUCUCAAAAUAAUCAGCUCAAAAUAUUCUUUAUGCAAAAGGGGCAUACCGCAAGGUGGCAUAUGCUGGUGUCCUACAACUCCUGCCUUCUGAGUCUCUCCCAGGUUUCCUUCUUGUCCAGCUCCCGUCCUUGCAGGAAAGCGAAUUCGGGGGAGAUACUUUCCAGCCUUAGGCGGGACAGUAGUGCCAAGCUGAAAGCACAGAAGCCAGCACCGGCACUCGUUCCUGGAGGCAGUUUUGAUGCCUCACCCGUGCUCAUGAGUCUUGGGAAGGAUCUGGGCUAAAGAUGAUUAAAUUUGGGAGAGAUGUGAUCAAAUGCAGAGAUGGUAAAAUGAAGGAAGGAGAGCUGGGGCAAGAGUACAGAUGAAGAAAGUCCAGAGCAGGUGGGAAAGAGGAGAAGGUACCAGCAACAAAGAUGGAAAGCGAGUGACCAGAGGAGGACCAGGGAAACAGGUAGAGUGGAGCUUUGAAGCCAAACAAGGGAGUGAUGAGUAGUGAGCAAGGGGCCUGUGCUCCUGGGAGCUCCGGGGAGAGAAAAAUGCAUGGUGGGCCUGGGAUAUGGAGCCCACUGAAGAGCUUAGCCCCACCGGAUUCAUGCGUGUGGAAACAGAAGCCAGUCAGAGUCAGCUGAGAGCGUGGGAGAAAAGGAAAUGCAGGUGGUGAGCUAAAUAGCUAGAAAAGUUUGGCUGUGAUGCUGGGGAGGAGUGGGCAGUUUCCUCUCCUGGGAAGAGGAGGAGUGGCAUUUUAAGUGAAAGUUGGGGAGAAGUCUUGCUUCCUAAUAAAAGUGAGGAAGGUUCGUUCUCAUGUGUAUUCUAAAGCUGUAUGCUUAGUUUCAUCUACGUCUCAGCUCUGCGCUAGGAAAAGAUGCUAGGGAAAGAAUGCAAAAGACAUAGGUCUUGUCCCGAGGUUCUUGUCUCCUCCAGGAGGCAUGUAAAGGUCUCUGCUGUAGGGUGGAGCGACCCUUGAAAAGGGCCCUGCAGGACUUGGAAGGAGGCUGGGAUGUGCCCAGUGAGGUGAGGUUCUGAGAAGGGAGGCAGUAUCUGAGCUGGGUUUUGACAAAGAGCUAAAAAGUCUCUAGGCAGAGGUACAUGAGAAGGAACAGAGGGGCGGGGCCUCGGGAUCUUCUGGGAAUUACAAUAAAUGCCCCUGGGUACCCUAACUGAACCAUUUUCACAAAGGCACCUGCUCUGGGCAGACACUGAGGGGAAGGGUGGAGCCCCAGCGUACGUCUGCCCCCAUUCCUUCCCCCAUGAAUAAAAGCCCCUGUUGGGGGCACAGCGAUACAGACUGACCCUGUUGGGUUUGGGGCACAUGAACACUUUCAGACACCCCUGAAACCAUCCCAUAUAGCUUAGUGGGAUCAGAAAACCCUAUCUCUGUGUUCUGUGGGGAGAGGGGGAGGACCAGAGGAGGAGAACUGUAAAAGCCAGAGGGGAUUUAUUUGACCCUCAGGAGGAUUUACCUGGGCAUGUGCUCUGAAAGCCAAGCAGUCCUGGAAGGAAAAGCAAUGAAUCAUUUAUGAUUGUUUUCACUUUGUAUUCAUUAAAGGCCUCUGCACUAUUAUUAUGGAACCUUAAUUGGCUUGGCACCGGGCACUGCCUCUCCCAGCCCCUGCUCCUCCCUUUGCCAUCAGAAAUUCCUGGAGUGAGUGGGGGAGAGGACCCUGUCUGCAACAGGCAGCUGGGCUAGAAUCCACCCCGAAGAUCAAAUGAAAUGCAGUCACUUUUCUUUCUUCUCUCUGAUCAUAUAUUAAUAAAUGUAUCUAUCUUGUUGGGUUUUAGCUCUGCUCCCCACGAGCUGCUCCAAGCUCCUGCAUCUCUUAGCCCCCUUUGCUUCCUCAGCCUCCAGAGAACUUUCCAUCAGCUGUCCCUCGCCCAGCCUUGCAGACGCGGUGACUUCACGCGUGACAGCGUGCAGCCUUUGUUCCAAGUGCCGUGUUGGGCACUCCACCAGCAACAAUAUGCGGGUUACCUGAUUUACUUCUUUUAAUACACUUCAGUGUAAUUAUAACUGCAUAAAAGAGAGGACAAAUUGGCAAGUAAUUACAAUGUUAAUUUGGCAACGUUUUAUCAUAUUGUGGAAGCGCAAUUUCCUCUCUAAUUGUAUUGGGGGGGACACAUUUAUCUGUGGUUCAGCUUACUGAGGGAUUCUUGAGAAUGGAAAUGAAACACACAAGAGACAGAGAAAUCAGCUCUCCUCCCCGUAAAUAUUCCUUU